rnacentral:rRNA from 1 species
CCUACGGGAGGCAGCAGUGAGGAAUAUUGGUCAAUGGGCGAGAGCCUGAACCAGCCAAGUAGCGUGAAGGAUGACUGCCCUAUGGGUUGUAAACUUCUUUUAUAAAGGAAUAAAGUCGUAUGUCAUACCCGUUUGCAUGUACUUUAUGAAUAAGGAUCGGCUAACUCCGUGC